GCCAGGUUGGUUACGUUGCCUUUGAGAGCGUAUGGUAGCCCAGGAAUGAGAAUUACCCCCAUGAUGGCAUACCAUUUGCAAAAGAAGACAACCCAAGGUAUUGCAAAUGGGGUAUGUCCAGUCUUUUUUAGUAACCACUUGGUCACAAACACUGGCCAAAAUUAGCGUUCAAUUUAGUUUUUUUACUUUUUUCACACACAAACAAAUAUGAAUGCUUACUUUGGCCAGUGUUUUCGACUAAGUGGCUACUAAAAAAGACUGGACAUACCCCAUAUUGAGUACCCUGGGUUGUCUACUUUAAAAAAAAUAUGUACAUGUGGGGUGUUAUUCAGAGAUUUAUGACAGAUAAUAGUGUUACAAUGUCACUAUUGAUAAAUUUUAAAAAUGUAUGUUUUGAAACCGCAAUAUCCUACUUGUACCUAUAGCCCUAUAACAUGCAAAAAAAAGCAAAAAAGCACGUAAACACUAGGUAUUUUUAAACUCAGG